rnacentral:snRNA from 1 species
AUUUUUACAGCAGGGGAGACACCAUGUGCAAGGAAACAGUUUACCAAGGUGAUGGAGCUCAUCUGAGAUUUCCCUAAAUGUGGAAACUGGACUGCAUAGUUUGUGGUUGUGGGGAAGAUGUGUUCAUACUCAUCCCCA